CUGGAGCAGAAACACCUUCCAAGAAAUGGUUAUAAUUCCUACCAUCUGGUUAGCCAAGUUCCAUCUGGUUCUGGUGGCUUUACAGGUGGAAAACUGAUUAACAGUAUGAACAUGGAGUUUCAGAUACUGGUCAGCAGUGUCCAGCUCAAUCCGGUUCAAACGUGGCAGAUCAAGAGUCUUAUAUGAGCUCCUCUGACCCUAAUGAGUCACAGUGGCACAGUGGUUAGAGCGCAUUACUACAAGC